AGAGUUUGAUCAUGGCUCAGGACGAACGCUGGCGGCGUGCCUAACACAUGCAAGUCGAACGAAGUAUGUUUUUCGGAAUGUACUUAGUGGCGGACGGGUGAGUAACGCGUGAAUAAUCUGCCCCAUACAGGGGGAUAGCCUCGGGAAACCGGGAUUAAAACCGCAUGAUGCUUUUUUAUCGCAUGGUAGAGAAGUCAAAUCGAAUAAGAGGUAUGGGAUGAGUUCGCGUCUGAUUAGCUGGUUGGCGGGGUAAGAGCCCACCAAGGCGACGAUCAGUAGCCGGCCUGAGAGGGUGACCGGCCACACUGGAACUGAGACACGGUCCAGACUCCUACGGGAGGCAGCAGUGGGGAAUAUUGCACAAUGGAGGGAACUCUGAUGCAGCGACGCCGCGUGAGUGAAGAAGGUCUUCGGAUCGUAAAACUCUGUCCUUGGUGACGAAAAAAAUGACGGUAGCCAAGGAGGAAGCCCCGGCUAACUACGUGCCAGCAGCCGCGGUAAUACGUAGGGGGCGAGCGUUGUCCGGAUUUACUGGGCGUAAAGGGUGAGUAGGCGGUUAUAUAUGCCAGGUGUAAAAAGCUAUGGCCUAACCAUAGUA
rnacentral:rRNA from 1 species